rnacentral:rRNA from 1 species
GACGAACGCUGGCGGCGUGCCUAAUACAUGCAAGUAGAACGCUGAAGGAGGAGCUUGCUUCUCUGGAUGAGUUGCGAACGGGUGAGUAACGCGUAGGUAACCUGCCUGGUAGCGGGGGAUAACUAUUGGAAACGAUAGCUAAUACCGCAUAAGAGUAGAUGUUGCAUGACAUUUGCUUAAAAGGUGCAAUUGCAUCACUACCAGAUGGACCUGCGUUGUAUUAGCUAGUUGGUGAGGUAACGGCCCACCAAGGCAACGAUACAUAGCCGACCUGAGAGGGUGAUCGGCCACACUGGGACUGAGACACGGCCCAGACUCCUACGGGAGGCAGCAGUAGGGAAUCUUCGGCAAUGGACGGAAGUCUGACCGAGCAACGCCGCGUGAGUGAAGAAGGUUUUCGGAUCGUAAAGCUCUGUUGUAAGAGAAGAACGAGUGUGAGAGUGGAAAGUUCACACUGUGACGGUAUCUUACCAGAAAGGGACGGCUAACUACGUG